CUUGCUGGUGUUGAGCAUAGGGUUGCGGGUGUCUUCCUGGUACCUGCUGCGGAGCCCACUGCCGAGCGAGGGGGGGCGGCAGGCUCCUGCGUCCGGCGCCGCCUUUGCACAGCAGUCCGUGCGCGGGUACCUCCGAGCCCGGCUGGAGGGAGGGGACUGCAGGCCUCGGCCGACCUAGAUGAACAACCGCUGCAGAGUAGUUCGUGAUGUCUGCCUGACGCCACUGCUUGGAACUGACCUAGGUCAGGUCGGGGAACUCAGCUGGAAUCGCCCCGACCUCUGCUGACUCGUUAGUAUCUUCCCAAGCUUCUGAUCCUCGCGACGCCAUGAUGGAGUUGUUAAGACGUCUGUUGGUGUGUUGUCCUUGAAUAAAGAAUGAGAGAUCUGGAAGCCCAGCCAGGGGCAAUGCCCCUUCACAGAUUCUGCACUAACCUGAUGGCCAAAGGCCUAAAGUUUGGAACCUACUCCUUUGGGGACUUGCUUUUGGGAAGGCUGUGAUGCCUAGAUGAUGGUUCCUGCUGCUUGACCUUCAGGCUGUGCUGAGCCAUGCCCUUUCUCCCUGUUUGCUGUGGAUUUUGCUGACACAAAGGAUGUCCUCUAGUUGGUGUUGAACAGAUCCUAGGAACUUCUUUCCUGUAUUGAUCUCUGUGAAUAGCUAUAAUCUUAUUGGAGAAAAAGUUACUUAGAAAUUUGGGGGCACUUACCUGUCAAGUAGAUAGCUUUCACUUGCAUUUGCUUUAUCUCGUGCAACAACCUGGUUUUAUCUGAAAGACUCCAAUAAAAUAUUUUAA